rnacentral:rRNA from 1 species
CUCGUGUCGUCAGAUGUUUGAAUUAGUCCCGCAACGAGCACAACCCUUCUCCCUAGUUGCUACGCAAGGGCACUCUAGGAAGACUGCCGGUGACAAACCGNAGNAAGGUGGGAAUNACGUCAAGUCCUCAUGGCCCUUAUGGGUAGGGCUUCACACGUCAUACAAUGGCCGGACCACCAGGGUAGCCAACACCGCAAGGGGGAGCCAAUCCCCAUAAAAGCCGGUCGUAGUCCGGAUUGCAGUCUGCAACUCGACUGCAUGAAGUCGGAAUCGCUAGUAAUCNCGGAUCAACAUGUCGCGGUGAAUACGUUCCCGGGCCUUGUACACACCGCC